AAAAAGAAACAAAGGAGAAAGACAAAAAAAAUCUAGGGGGUGAGAAGGAACGAAUGAUGAGAAACAGAACCAGGGAAGGUAAACAAGCCUAACACAGAGACGAAAACGAGAAAACACAGAGGAGGUAGCUUCCAUUCAACCAGCAGCACCUCACGCCUUCAUCACCAUCGUCUUCAUCCUGAGCAGAAAAACCAGAGAGAAAACCCACGAAUAGAACACAACAAGGGAACGAGACAUAUACACACCAGAACAAACAAACACAUAAAAAGGUUGCACCGAGAGAAAGCAAAAGAAAAGAAAGCACCAGAGGAAAAAAAAACGAAAGGAGGAACAGAGGGGUCUAAAGCACGCCAUCGCCCUCGUCCAACUUUUAGGUAAGUUUCUCCAGCUUUACAAGAUAAUUCACCAACACUGUGCACUUGCAAAUAUAAUUACAUUGUGACUGUAGCAAGCGUGCGUGAACAAUUCACGCCCGCUUGCGGGUAGAAACUGGCCGGGUCACUAGCUUGGGCCAGUGAUCAGGCCGGGCCGGCUGGAUCCAACCUAGCCCGUACAUGUCGGGUUAAAACCAACCAAAAAAAAAUAAAAAAACAGGAAAAAACUGGGUCUAGGCUUCAGGCCCAACUAGCCUAGUCCCCUUUAUUUUAGUUAAUUUUAUUUUGAUUUUUUAUCAAACAAGCUGUAUUUUUAAUAUUAGAAAAAAAAUUUAAAAAAUUAUUUACCCUUUUGAAUUUAUUUGUAGGUCCCUUAUAUUUAUUUUAGGGUAUUUCACUGUAUAUUUAAUCUGUGGAUUUUUAUUGUGAAAUGCAAAUCCGGUAUUCAAUACAUUGGUUUUUAAAAGAUAAAAAAUGUAUGCUUUGUUUUAGAUUCAUUUUAUUGUUUUACUCACUGACGUCAGAGCCAGAAUACCAUGUUUUUUUUUUGCUACGUAAUAUUUAUCAACGCUAGAGUUGGAAAUGUCUAUAGUCGAAUAUUAAUUGGUGCCAGAGUCAAGAAUGUUAUAGGUAGACCAUCAUAGAUAAAACACAACAAACCCUUAACAAUUUAAGACAAAACCAGUGAUGCAACCUACCUUAUAUAGGACUCUUAAGGGGUGAUAAUAUCUUUCUUUUUGCGUAACUAGACUUGUACUUCAGAAUCUCUGCUGACCAGUUAGGGUUCCUAGUGACCAUAAUACUAUGUGAUGACUCCUUAAACAAGACUUUUCCUCAAAAGAACAAGAUGCCAGAAAUUUUGUUCUUUUCCACUAGGGACUUUUAGGACUAACCUUCACUUUUUGUUUUUUUUAAUUGCUAUCAUGUUUGCUGUGCUUAUUGGUUUAUUUUCUUGCCUUUACUGCUUUAGCAUGCAUCUUGUUUAUAUUGUCAUGCAUCACAUUAAGAGCACACACCUUGUAAUCUAGGAUAAAUGGGGAAGUAACGAUACCCCAAUGACUUUAGCCUAGGUAAGACUCGUGAAACCAUUCAACUCUCACUUAUUUGUUUACUUGGAAGUGGUUGAUAUGCCAAUCUGAUAUUAAUCAGGGCCUCUAUCUUCACACUACUUGUAAGCCUCAUAUCGACCUUUCGAGGAUGAUCACUGAUCAUACGAGAGACCUUUUGAGGCUAGAUAGUGACCUAUCCUCUUUAUGCACUUAACGAUUAGAAUCUACCAAUUAGGUUAUCACCCUGUGAAGGGCGAGUCCAUAUUUCAUAUGCAUUUUUCUUAUUUUGCAUGAUUUUUAUUUAGCACAGGUUGAAAUAUAGGUUCCCCAUUGAAACACACCUAUAACACUCGACUGUGAAAAAAAAAACAAAUGGAAAACGAAGAAAGAGCCUAGUUGGAAGCCCAACACCGAAAAGAGUUUGAAAUUCUUAAAGAAAAAAUUGCAAGGCUUACUAGUCUACUCAAAUAGGCCUUGAGAUCUAAAUUUGGAAAGGCAACACUUAUAGCUCAACUUGAACCUAUGCCUGUAACUCCCUUCAUUCUACAUACUUUGAGGGCAAAUGAGGUGUCAUCUGAAUUUCAACAAGCCAAGCAUUGAUUCUACAAAGAAUGUCAUCUACCAUUGAUUCUAUAGAGAAGGAAUCACAUAAAGGCAAGAUGGUAAAAAAAGAUGGUCUGGACAAAUUAGCUACCCUAGAGCAAAUGAUGAGGGAAUUUGAGGGAACUUGCCCAUAUGAUCCUAUGAAGGCUACUAAGAUGUGUUUAGUGCCCAACGUGGUCAUACCUAAAAAGUUUUGAGUGCCAUAAUUUGUCAAAUAUAUAGAAACUCAAUGCUCUAUAACUCAUCUCAAAGCAUACUGCAACAAAAUAACCAAGGUGGUUAAUGAUGAGAAACUAUUGAUUCACUUCUUUCAAGACAGCCUGAGUAACGCUGCCCUCACUUUGUAUAUGUGGUUGGAAAAUAUCAAGGUGAAAAAAUAGGACUUAGUUGAUGUCUUUAUUAGGCAAUAUAAGUUCAAUGUGGACGUGAGCCCUGAUAGGUCAAGCUUGCAAGUUAUGGAAAAGGAUAACAAGGAGUCUAUAAGAGAGUAUGCCUAAAGGUGGCGUGAGGCAACUGCACAAGUUAAUCCCCCUUUGUUGGAAAAGGAGAUGAGCAAUUUAUUUUCCAACAACUUUAAGGCUCCGUACUUUGAAUAUUUGGUUAGGAACUCUGCACAACAUUUCACUGACCUAGUUGUCAUAGCUCAGAUGAUUGAACAAGCCAUUCAAUCAGGAAAGAUUGCUGACUCAAUAGAGGAGAAAAGUUUUGUUGGAAAAAGGAACUGAGGUGCAUAUUAUCGAGGGUGGUUAUAAAGGUAAGAGAAAAAACUAUCAAAACAAGGACACCUAGAGAUCAAUCGUCUUGAAGAUGAAGCUACAGUGUCAUUAGGCCAACACUGGUCUACGCUUGACUUCGACUGACUGUUGGAAUGAUUCCCCUGUUGAGGAAAUGAACGAUUGGAAGAUUAUAUAAAUCUCAAUCAAUGAUUGCUAAGUGUUUAGUCAUGUAUUACCUUGCUAGUAAUCAUAGCUGUAACAGCCUUGAUUUUCUACAUCUUUUUUCAUGAUACAUUGAAAAUUUUCAGGUAAUUUUUUUUUUAGAUAUACAGGUUCCACCAAAAUUUCUAUCAAAAUUUCGGCAGAGUCUCUCCUAUAUUGGGAGGUCCCAAGUUAUCUACAAAAUCACAUUACACUUUCAAUUUUAAGCCGCCGCGAUGUCAGGU
rnacentral:lncRNA from 1 species